rnacentral:rRNA from 1 species
UGGGGAAUUUUGCACAAUGGGCGAAAGCCUGAUGCAGCAACGCCGCGUGUGUGAUGAAGGUCUUCGGAUUGUAAAGCACUUUCGACCGGGACGAAAAAGCUAUGGCUAACAUCCAUGGCCCUGACGGUACCGGGAGAAGAAGCACCGGCUAACUCUGUGCCAGCAGCCGCGGUAAUACAGAGGGUGCAAGCGUUGUUCGGAAUUAUUGGGCGUAAAGCGCGUGUAGGCGGCUUUGCAAGUUGGGUGUGAAAGCCCUCGGCUUAACCGAGGAAGUGCGCCCAAAACUGCAGAGCUUGAGUACCGGAGAGGAUGGUGGAAUUCCCCAAGUAGAGGUGAAAUUCGUAGAUAUGGGGAGGAACACCGGUGGCGAAGGCGACCAUCUGGACGGAUACUGACGCUGAGACGCGAAAGCGUGGGGAGCAAACAGG